rnacentral:rRNA from 1 species
UCAUCGUCAGCGGCGCUGGCUUCGCGUCGGUGGGCGAUGUCCCGCGGAGUCCUCGCGGCUCUCGCGCGGGCACGCUACCGUGCGUCGAUGUCCGGCGCUCGUCGUCGUGCACUUCUCCCCAAGUAGAACGUCGCGACCCGCUGGGUGUCGGUCUACGGCCCGGGUGCGGUGACUGUCGCGUCGCCGGUAAAACGGCACGCGACAAACCCUCGGUCGCCCGGCCGGCUGCUCGGCGGUACGCGCAAGGUAUCAGGCCGCACUUUAUUUUUAUACGGUGCGUCGAGGCCGUCGCAAGCGCGCGCCACGGUACUCGGAGGUUACGGACUUUGCGCCGUCCCCGGUCCUGGCCCGCUGUUGGUUAAAGUACGGACGGAUCACCUUCGACAGGCCUGUCGAACGUCCCUCUCCCCUCCCCCUCCGGGGGGUGGGGGACGGGGGACAUAUACCGGUCGGCGACGCUACUGCUUUGGGUACUCUUAGGACCCGUCUUGAAACACGGACCAAGGAGUCUAACAUGUACGCGAGUCAUUGGGACUUGUCGCGAGACCUAAAGGCGUAAUGAAAGUGAAGAUCGACCCUGGCCGUCGAUCGAGGGAGGAUGGGCCGCGUCGCGAUGCGGCCUCGCACUCCCUGGGCGUCUCGUUCUCAUCGCGAGAAGAGGCGCACCAAGAGCGUACACGUUGGGACCCGAAAGAUGGUGAACUAUGCCUGGUCAGGACGAAGUCAGGGGAAACCCUGAUGGAGGUCCGUAGCGAUUCUGACGUGCAAAU